rnacentral:rRNA from 1 species
AUUGAACGCUGGCGGCAGGCCUAACACAUGCACGUCGAACGAGUGGCGGACGGGUGAGUAAUGUCUGGGAACUGCCCGAUGGAGGGGGAUAACUACUGGAAACGGUAGCUAAUACCGCAUACCAUCGGAUUUGCCCCGAUGGGAUUAGCUUGUAGGGGGGGUAACGGCUCACAUAGGCGACGUUCCCUAGCUGUUCUGAGAGGAUGACCAGCCACACUGGAACGGAGACACGGUCCAGACGCCUACGGGAGGCAGAAGUGGGGAAGAUUGCACAAUGGGCGCAAGCCUGAUGCAGCCAUGCCGCGUGUAUGAAGAAGGCCUUCGGGUGGUAAAGUACUGUCAGCGAGGAGGCGUUACUCGCAGAAGAAGCACCGGCUAACUCCGUGCCAGCAGCCGCGGUAAUAC